GAUGAACGCUGGUUGUGUGCCUAAUACAUGCAUGUCGAGCGAAGUGAUUUAUCACUUAGCGGCGAAUGGGUGAGUAACACGUACUCAACGUACCCUUCAGUUUGGCAUAGCGGUUGGAAACAACCGAUAAUUCCAAAUACUCGUAGAUGCCGCAUGGCAUUUACGGAAAGACGCCUUAAAGCGUCGCUGGAGGAGCGGGGUGCGCAACAUUAGCUAGUUGGUGAGGUAACGGCUCACCAAGGCGACGAUGCGUAGCCGACCUGAGAGGGUGACCGGCCACACUGGGACUGAGACACGGCCCAG
rnacentral:rRNA from 1 species